rnacentral:rRNA from 1 species
AGAGUUUGAUCCAUGGCAUCAGGACGAACGCUGGCGGCGUAGCUUAACACAUAGCCAAGCUCGGACGGUGCAAGCCCGCUAUANCGGGUAGCGAGGAUCACGUGGCGAACNGGNGUAGAGUAACACGUAGACGUAACCUAGCACCNUAUCACUCUAGGCGAUAACGUCCGUGCGAAACCUAGGGGCUAAAUACUAGGAUAAUAGAACGCGUAAACUCAGGGCGAUACACGGAUAGUAAGGAGUAGNGCACAAGGAAUAUUAUAUGGUAGGGUGAGGAGUAAGGCGGAAACCGUUACCCAGGCCCNGNCGGNACACGCCGCUUAAAGUUUCCCCAAGGANCAGUUACUAGNGGNACUAUAACACNCAGGGUAACAGGAACCGCCGGGUNAAACAACNUACAGGNGGCCCUUUACCCAAAACCCCANAACACGACGGCCAGGAAAACCGGAAAGCCCANGCGGAGGUUCAAAGGGCNCGCACCGUGGAGACCACCUAGGNCACGAGGCAAACGCAGGCGAGGCCACGGAAGUUCCCGGGGANCCCCAACAGCCGUAGCCCUUACGGCGGCAGGAAAGCGUUAAGGNACAGGNAACCCANAUAAGCCCUNGAGAGGUGUCAGACCCAGACCCCACAAAANGGAAAAACACCUUUNACCCCGCACCGUUUUNAANAGCCAGCGACAGGGGCGAGGCAAACCCGGGACGAGCCCCCACAAAUAUGCGCCGACNAAGAGGGU